rnacentral:lncRNA from 1 species
AAACUUCAAAUUAAUACCCUCCACGUGGUUUCGCACUUUCUCACUUUAGUAUCCAGUGGUUUAAUAUUUCAUUAGAUUAUGUACAAAAAACUUCAGAUAUCCUAUCUAGAUUUAUCGAAUAUUCAUUUUAGUACUCUUUAGUUUUAACUUUGUCACUAAUUUAAUAAAAAAAAAAUCCAAAAUGAAUAAUAAAAAGAGAAAAAUAAAACUACAUGAUACUAACUUGAUACAAAAAUAAAAUCACAAAGUACUCACUUGAUACACCUUAAACCACAGGAUACUAAAGUGAGAAAGUGCGAAAUCAUAUGAUAUUAAUUUGAUACACUUUAAACCAUAUGAUAUUAAAAUAAAAAAGUGCGAAACCACAUAGGGUGUUUUUGAAGUUUUUCCCAAGGAUAUAUG